UUUACCUUGUUGGCCGCUUAGCACACUUUCCUUUAUAUUCCACAGCAGGAUCGCCGUGAAAGGUGCAUAGAUAAACACAUACUCAAAAACGUAAUAAAAGCAUGAAGUAUAACAUUUCAAGACAAAUAUUGUGAACAUAUCGGCAUACAUCCCACAUUUACUUUUUCGAAGGUCAUCAUUUGAAAACUUGUCAGAUGUGUUCAGUAUAACAUCAUCG
rnacentral:lncRNA from 1 species